UCGCUUGUUGCUGUACACUCUCAUCAGGAGACGGUCAGGAUGAGGACUCUCCCUGUCCUGUGCUGUGUGGUACUGAUGGUUCUCUGCAUGUCCUCGCUGGGUGAGACUUAUGUUAAAAAAUUAAGAGGCGGAGGCAUCUUGUGCUGCAAGAAGAAGCCCAUCAGUUGCCUUCAUUGUCCAACUGCACCAGCUCAAAAAGCCAGGGCUCCAAAGGAACUGAUAAAAGGGUGUGUGAGGUGCUUGAAGGUGGAAUCUCGCAAAAUCCGCAAAAGACACAGGUCUCCGAUCAUGCCGCUGCCCGGAGUCUAGAGGAGGAUCCCAGCCCUCGGGAUCAUUCCAAAAACCUUCUGUCAGCAAGAAAUAUAUAUCUCUUUUUUUUACAGCACUUCAAAAUGGCACCAUGCUUUCCCAACUGUAGCAUCUUCCAGUAAAAAGAAUGAACUCAUGUGCUGCAUAUCCUUCAUCCAUAGCUUCCUCAUUAUUUGUCGAGGUAAUGUCCAACAAUCUACUCCAUCCACUACUCAGGAUCAUAGAAUCCCCGCAGUGUGGAAAUAGUCCAUUCGACCCAUUGAACCCAUGCUGACCCUCUGAGGAGCAUCCCAGGCAGACUACCCUGUUCCCGUAACCCUGCAUUUCUUAUGGCUAACCCACCUAGCCUGCACAUCCCUGAGCACUAUGGGAAAUAUAGCGUAGCCAAUCCAUCCAACCUGCACAUCUUCGGACUAAGUCGGAAAUCACAUGACACGAGGUUAUAGUCCUACAGGUUUGUCUGAAAUCACAGGUUUUUGGAGCAUAUUCUGUUUGUCAGGUCAUUUCACCUGAUGAAAGGGCUACCCUCUUUGAAAACUUGUGAUUUCAAAUAGAACUGUUGGACUAUAACCUGAUGGCAUGUGAUUUCUGCCCUUGUCCACCCCAGCCCAACACCAGCACCUCCACUCAUCAUCUUUGGAUUGUGGGAGGAAACUGAAGCACCCCCACGCAUAGAAUAUACAAACUACACAUAGUUGCCUGAGGCUGGACUCAAAUUCGGGUCCCUGGCACUGUGAGGCAGCACGCCUGGAAUAUCCAAUCCAGCAUGCAAAUGACACAUACUGAUCCAACUUGUUUUGUAUCUCUCAGAGCAGUGUUCCAAGACAACCAAUACAUUCAUGUUGCUGUUUUGUUGCUAACUGGUUACCAAACAGGAUGAUGCAUGAAUUAUGGCUGAAAAUGUGUUGCUGGAAAAGCGCAGCAGGUCAGGCAGCAUCCAAGGAGCAGGGGAAUCGAUGUUUCGGGCUUGAGCCCUUCUUCAGGAAUCUUCCUGAAGAAGGGCUCAUGCCCGAAACGUUGAGUCUCCUGCUCUUUGGAUGCUGCCUGACCUACUGCGCUUUUCCAGCAACACAUUUUCAGCUCUGGUCUCCAGCAUCUGCAGUCCUCACUUUCUCCUCCCUGAUGCAUGAAUUAAGCCAGUUACAGCCAUUCAUGUCUCAUGGAUGUCAGUGGGAGUUUCUGUCCCAUGUAGCUUUCCUCCCACUAUUCCCUUGCCCCACUCUAUCCUGCUCCUGUUUUGCCUCAGGCAUUCCCAGUCUCUCCAUUCUGGGACCCCCCUUUCUGAUGUUACCGUUGAAUCCCUACCAUGUGGAAACAUUCGGCCCAACAAGUCCAUACUGAACCUCCAAAUAGCAACCCACACAGACCCACUGCCCCACCCUAUUACUCUACAUUUGUCCAUGACUAAUGCAUCUAACCUACACACCCCUGGAUAGUAUGGACGAUUUAGCAUGGCCAAUCCACCUAACCUGCACAUUGUUGGACUGUGGGAGGAAACCGGAGCAGCCGAAGGAAACCCAUGCAGUCACGGGGAGAAUGUGAGGAUAAUCUCAUUGAUGGAAAUCUCAAGGGGACUGAGAGGGUGUGGGGGGAGUGUAGGUGCAGGAGACUAGAACUCUGAGGCACUGUUUAUAAAAAAGGGCUCCCCCACUUAAGAUGGAGAGAAAAAAAGUUUUACUUUCCUCUCUCUCUCUCAGACGCCCCUGAGUCUAUGGACUCCCAGAGGGCACCCUCUUUCAGCCUUCUUCGAAGGUCCAAUCAGAUGCUCUUACUGAAUAACAGCCAAAUGGCCUAUUCCUGCUCCUGUUGGUUCAUACUUUCUACUGAAUCUGAAUCACCAGCAAAACAAAAGUUGAAAGAUAACCAUGAGCUUUCUCCUGGGCUUAACGUGUCGCCCCUCCCACAUUGUUCCACUGAGGUGGGGGGGGGGGUGUCCAUGUUGGUGGGGGGAUCACGGCUGGGGAAGACCUGCGCAAAAUCCUUCCGUCAUCUCGUCGAUCAGACAGCUCAUUCUGGUAACUUACUGGCAUCGAGCCUGCAGACAGCUCCCAAAUGGGUUAAGAAGCUGUGAUGGGUUCCCUGAAGUUCAUUGGUGUCAGAUAAUAGGCUGCAUAUGUCCUUGAAUGGUCCAAUCCUCUAUAUCAGGCAGUGCUGAGUCGGGAAUACUGAUAGGCCUGAGCAUUUCUCAACAUAUCGUUGAGGCCUAAAUAUGCAGAGCGUGAACUUCAUUACUAGUCCACAAAUGUAACAACGUUUGCUCAUUUCCAAAUUCUCUGAAACUCAUUGCUAUCUCAAGAACAACCUGCACUGGUGCAUUCACAAAGCAACAAAGGGCAUUGGUACAACAAUGUAACAAUACCAUAGUGACAAAGCAUUUGCUUUCUGAAUGACUUGUAGGUUUCUGUCGUAUGCCUGUGAUUAAUGGCUGUGCAUAAACUUUCAAAUUGAGAGCAUUUGAUUCCUUAAUUAAAUACAUUUACCCUUCA